CAGCCGCCGCGGUAAUGCGAAGGGUGCAUGCGUUAAUCGGAAUUACUGGGCGUAAAGCGUGCGUAGGCGGUUUGUUAAGUCUGUUGUGAAAUCCCCGGGCUCAACCUGGGAAUGGCAAUGGAUACUGGCAAGCUAGAGUGUGUCAGAGGAUGGUGGAAUUCCCGGUGUAGCGGUGAAAUGCGUAGAGAUCGGGAGGAACAUCAGUGGCGAAGGCGGCCAUCUGGGACAACACUGACGCUGAGGCACGAAAGCGUGGGGAGCAAACAGGAUUAGAGACCCCUGUAGUCCCUGUCUCUUAUAC
rnacentral:rRNA from 1 species